GCCCGGAUGGUGGAAUCGGUAGACACGAAGGACUUAAAAUCCUUUGGCUAUAAUACGGCUGUGCGGGUUCAAGUCCCGCUCCGGGUA
rnacentral:tRNA from 1 species